UACGUAGGGGGCAAGCGUUGUCCGGAAUCAUUGGGCGUAAAGAGCGUGUAGGCGGCCAGAUAAGUCCGCUGUGAAAUCUCGAGGCUCAACUUCGAGCUGUCGGUGGAAACUGUCUGGCUAGAGUCCGGAAGAGGAGAAUGGAAUUCCUGGUGUAGCGGUGAAAUGCGCAGAUAUCAGGAAGAACACCCGUGGCGAAGGCGGUUCUCUGGGACGGUACUGACGCUGAGACGCGAAAGCGUGGGGAGCGAAGCAGG
rnacentral:rRNA from 1 species